AUGUGUUGCUUGUCACAUGGCUUCAUAUCGAGCUAUAUCUCAGAGAUUCAGUUUUUGGAGAAGUCAGAGAAUGAGAAGCAUGCACCAGCUCCCAGAUCGACGGAGUGGAUCCCUCCUCUAGAUCAUCAUGUGAAAAUCAACGUUGAUGCGGCAGUUGCGAGACAUGGUGGGUUUGGGGCAGUAGCAGCUAUCUGCAGAGACAGUAGCGGGGAGUACCAGGGAGCGUCAGUGAUCCGUUUCAACAACAUCGAUGACCCAGAGACUUUGGAGACCUUGGCAAUUCGUGAAGCUCUGGCACUAGCGGAUGACUUGCUCUACGACAGUAUUUCAGUGGCGUCAGACUGUAAAGUUGCCGUUGAAGCGAUCAAGAAAGGCACAAGUGCACAAUAUGGGGCCGUGGUGCAUGAAAUCAUAGACCGUUCUAGUAUUUUUUCUUCUUGUUUGAUCAAUCAUGAAUUUAGGACCUCGAAUGUUGAGGCUCACAAGCUUGCAAAGCAGGCGUUAUCCCUGGGUUUUGGCCGCCAUGUUUGGUUAGGUCACCCAGGAAAUUUGGAUUUCGUCCCUGUAAACAUUGUGACGGGUGAAUAA
rnacentral:rRNA from 1 species